rnacentral:rRNA from 1 species
UACGAACCGCACGAACGUUAUUCGGAAUCACUGGGCUUAAAGGGUGCGUAGGCGGCCAUGCAAGUUGGGUGUGAAAUCCCUCGGCUCAACCGAGGAAUUGCGCUCAAAACUGCACGGCUUGAGGGAGAUAGAGGUGAGCGGAACUUGCGGUGGAGCGGUGAAAUGCGUUGAUAUCGCAAGGAACACCAGUUGCGAAAGCGGCUCACUGGGUCUCUUCUGACGCUGAGGCACGAAAGCUAGGGGAGCGAAGAGGAUUAGAUACCCUCGUAGUCCUAGCUGUAAACGUUGAGCACUUGGUUGAGGAAUCCUCCAUAGUUUCCCAGCCGUAGCGAAAGUGGUAAGUGCUCCGCCUGGGGAGUAUGGUCGCAAGGCUGAA